rnacentral:lncRNA from 1 species
GACCAACCCUGUACCUGCUCUGUGAAUCUCCUUAAAACUACCCUCACCCAAGUGUCUGCCCCCUUGAAUGCUCCAGUGACGGAGGGCUCACUACGUCCCGAGGACAUCCAUUCCAACCUUGAACCAGUCUCACCAGAAAGCCAUGACCCAAUGGACUUGGACAAACAGUUCACAGAAGAGAAAAUACAAUUGGUUAACAGGUAUAUGUGAAAACGCUCAACCUUCAUUAGUAAUCAAAGCAAUGCAAGUUAAAAUGACAGAAAAACACUUUUUAACAGAGAGAAUCUAGCAAUAUAUCUUAACAAAAUGCUAAUACAUCGCUGGACAUUGUAAAAUGCUAUAAGCCCUUGGAAAUUAGUCAACAUCCAUACAAACUCCCUGGCCUUUCACUCAAGAAGCUCAACCCUAGGAACAUCAUCCAUACAUUCAGCAUCCAAGCACUCGCCCAUCCUUCUACCUUCUCACCCAGCACGCCAUCCAUGCGGCAUCUACGACAUGGCGGGCACUGGAGGUACAAAAAUCAAUCCGGCAAGCUCCUUGCCCUUAAGGGGCUCACAGUCUAGCAGGAGAAACUGGCAUGCCAUGAAGCAAUGGUCAUUUCAGGGUGAAGGAAAGCAAUUCGUAAGAAUGAAAAAAGUGGGUGUGCAAAGCCAUUCGCCGUGGUGUAAUUCAUAGCAUUAGGGGGGAAAAAAAAAGAUGAGUUAUACAUAACAAUAGCAGGUUGGCAUUGCAAAUGAUGGUAUAUAACCACUCGAUGCGACACAACACAGCCAGUGAGGCGAUGAUUUUUUUUUUCAUGGAAAAAAGAAGAACGCUGAUGACAAAAAUAUUGAAUGGAAAACGCAGGAUGUAUGUGGUGAAGAAGGCAAGGUUUAAAAACUGGAUGCUUAUUUAAAAAAAACAAAAAAACAAAAAAAGAUGUCCAUUUGGGGAAAAAAAAAAAAAAGUAUGCCCACAGACAAGAAUUGGAAGGGGAGAAAGACAGCAGGGUGAUGUGUCAGCGUGAUGGGUGACCUCCUGCUCUAGGUCAUGUACCAUCCACACCAUUUACAUUAGGAACACAAGGGGGGCCUUGGCCUGUCUGCCCCAGAGGCCCAGCCUCUGGAAGGCCAGCCCUGAGGCUGAGUUUCCCGAGGAGGGGGUUGGGAGUCACAGGGGAACCUAAGGAGAGCUCCUGGUGUCACCAGGGGAAGGAUUUGUGCAUGGAGUGCAUGCAAAAGUCAAAGUCCAAGAGACAAAAUUUGUUCUUGUUUUAAUAAGUUAAAAGAAAGAAAAACAGGCCCUGAUCAGAGGGGAGAGGAGAGCGGAGCCCUACAGUCCCAACACAUGGGCUCACGUGGCCCAGACACGUGGUAUGGGGUGGCUCCUGACACGAAUUCCAUCAUCCAUUUGGGGCCACCGUAGAGGCAUGGAAGUCACCCCAGUCCCCCUCACUCCCUCCUCACACCCUGUCUCAAACCCUACAGCUUGGAAUCCUGUGCCCCCCACUCUAAUGCCCUCAACCAACACCUUCAGCAGGGCUGGCCGGGCCUGCAGUAGCAGCCCCACCUGGCACCUGGGACGGGCCACCCCCUGUCCCCACCCAAGGUCCAAAGUCAUGGCAGGUAUAAGACCCACCCCAGUCGGGCUCCUCUGGGUUCCUGGGGCUCCCAGCCAUGCAUCCUGGCUCCGGCCACGAUGGCUCCUCCUGCUCAGGGCACUUGCUAAGAAUUCAAUUUUGUUUUAAUGUCCCAAAGAGAGAUUGAGACGUUGAGAGGGACUUUGGUUCUAGUUUUUGCAGACAAACACAGGCACACAACACACAAGUGCACAAAUCCUGUCCGCUACAGAGAGAGGAGAGACUGGACAGAUCCAGGGAGUCCCUGGGGUCAGAAACGUCAGUACAAACAACCUUCCAGACCUGCCAUGGCCCCAGGAGGGCAGGUCAGGAGGAAAGAGGACAACUCCAACACACACCGCAACGCGAUCUCUGCCCAAAUACAGAGGACAUCGGAAAACAGUCGAGAAGACAGUGAGGCCUUGAAACGGGCUCUGGGGAUGCCAUGUCAAGGGGGUCGGGGUCCCGGGACCACGUGUGUGUAACCCCGGGCUGCGGUGCACCUGCCUGAGACCCCCAGUUGAGAAGGGCACGCGGCCCACCCCAUAGAAGAGCAGGCUGGAGGGCGCCUGGGCACGUCAGAUAGUUGCAUGAACAAGGGUUCUGGCGACUUGUCUCUGGGUCACCCUUCUCAGGACUCCUGGCCGCCUUCUAGCCUACCUGCCUCUCCCUGCACAGCCCCUGCACAGGAGGGGGCGCCACACCCAGGACAGCCCAGCGGCGGGGCCCCAACUCCCUUACCCUCUGCUGCCCCCUGGCGGGAAGAGCCUCCCUCACAGGUGACCCGGCCCAGGGAGGGCCCAAGACACCCACCUGGCCCCACACCCCUUGUUCACACAGCCUUCUGCGGGGCCUGAGGGGCGCCGAGCCCUUCCGCCUACCCAGGGCCAUCGACGGGGCGCUCCCAACGGGCUGAACAGCAUUUGCCCCCAUGAUCAAUCCAAGCAGGAAGCUGAUGCGCUUCCAAGUUUACAGAUGGGUAAACUGAGGAUCAGAGAAAUGAGGUGGGAUGGGCCGCACAGCCAGGACACCGCCGCGGCACCCCGCGGCCAGGGUCUCCUGAGCCAGCUCCUCCCUGCCGGGCCAGGUGCGUGCGCCGAGCACCCCUCAUGCCAAGAGCCACCCCUCCUCUAGCCUCUCUUUCAGCUGGCUGGAGCUCAGGGCCCCAGAAACCCCUUCCCUCCUGUCUGCCCUCCUUUCCCUGCCUCCCUCCUGUUCGUCUUCCAUCCAGCCCUUUCCACCUGACCCCCUCAUCUCUGGGCACCCACAGCUGAGCGGCCCCCAUCUGGCCAGAGCCCCGGUCCUGCAGACCUCCCUUCACGAGCCCUAUUUAUGUGCUCGCCUCGCCUUUUUGUGCCCUAUUCCCUCCUUGUAUUUCUUCCCAAAUCUCACCUUCCUUGGCUUCCUGCCGCUCCUCCCCCACUGGGGGCCCUCCUUUCCCUUCCUGGUUUGGGAUGGGGGGUACCCGUCAGGCAAGCCCCCCCAACCCCAGCACACCUAGUACCCACCAUCUUGCGCCUCCACCAUCCCUCCUCCUGGGCCCCAGUCACCUUGGACGCUUAGGUAUUUAUUCUUUCAUUUAUGGGCCUCAAUUGCAUCUGUUUUAUUACAGCGCUAGGAAAUGCAGCCUUGUCUUUGGGCUGGGAAUUUCCUUUAUUUUUCAUUUAUUCUCUGAGAGGGGUAAUGCAUUUAUCUCUUUAAGGAGAGUGUAUGCAAACUAAUUAUAAUCCCUGUUCCGACAAGCUCUCCCAACGGCCAGUUUGUCACUGGGGUUGCUUUAUUUUUCAUGUUUCUUAUCUUCCCUUUCUUGUCUUUUGCUUCUUUUUCCACCUUGUCCACGCCCUUCACUCUAGAAAUGGG